rnacentral:lncRNA from 1 species
AAGGUUCUUUCAAGAGGGUUUGUGAAAGUUUGCAAGUUCAAUUAUGACAAUGCAAUUGUUGACUUGAACCUUUCAUACAUUAACUUUGAAUCCAACACCAAGAAAGCCAUUGAGAGUCUCAAACAAGCUGAGAUUAAGGUUGGAUACUGUGUUAAUUCUUUGAAAUCAGGAAGUAAAAAUUCUGAAAUUCCACCAGUUCAUAAGGCUAACAAAGUGAUUCAGAGUUUGAUAAAGGCAGCAGAAUCUGUUGCUAAGAAACAAACACACUAAGCAACAUAUAGCCAGUAUGUGUGUCCAUUUUGCCUUUUGUUUUGAGAGCUGUAGAACAUGUUUGUGUUUCUCCUUUUCUGAAUUUUGGUUACAGAAACAAGUUCUUUUUUGUACUCUUAUUAAUGUAUUGUAAUCAUAAAACAAUUUUAAUGAAGAGUCACAAUUUCCAAUAAUUAGAUUUUGUCUGUGUUUACAUAGGGUAAUGAUUAUUUGCUUAGAGAUAUAUUUGGUUUUAGUUCCUUAUUUAAUGUUAUCAACAUAAUUUAAGAAAUUAAUAAAUAAUAUAAAAAUAAAAUAUAAUUUGACUAAAGUAUUGUUAAUUUUUCACAUAUUUCUACACAUAAAUUUUCAUCAUAAAGUCAACCCAAACAACAAAUAAGUGAAAAAUAUUUGGGAAUAGAGAUUAUUAAGAGAACGCUUAAGAAAGAUUAUUACAUUGCAAAGUGGAGAAAAAUAGGGAAGAUAAUGUAUCUUCUUAUACCAGGAGAGGAGAUAACUUAUCUCCUCUAGCCAGUAAAAAUGUGACAUGUGUGUUAUUUUGUUUAUUAUUAAAAAUAUUUCUAUAGAUAAUGAUGAAACAUGACACAUGUCAUGAUUUCACUGGUAGGAGGAGAUAAUUUAUCUUCUUAUACUAUGAGAUACUUCAUUCUCUUAUAUUAAAAAAUUCGAAAGAGUAUUAUUAUAUUUACAAAUGAAUAAAAAUUUGAAAUAAAAUUUAUAAAUAAUUAUUAAAUCAGGCAGGAAAAGGCAUUAAAUAAAUAAGGUUGAUGAAUAUAUAUAUAUAUAUAUAUAUAUAUAUAUAUUAUCCCUCAUGCAUGACAUUAUAAGUGAUGCACGUAAGCUUAGGUGUGUUGCUUUGAGUUUUUUGCUUUUAAACUUUGAUUCUGCGCAGUUGUGAAGGCUUACUAGCGUUACUAAAAUGAUUAUCUGGUUGUGUUAAAUAAUGGGUUAAAUUGUCACUGCAAUUUCCAUAACCAUGUUAUAAUGAACUAUUAGUUAUCCCAUUAAAAGCAAAACUUUGAUAUAAUUUCUUUUAACAAAAGGGACAAUCAGAUAACUGGAACUGCUUAAAUUCAAUGUUUAUAACUUCUGUCUUCCUGUGAUGAAUUGAUAAUUAGAAUAAGUUUAAUUAUAUUUGUCAAAGAAUUCUGUAUUUUAAUUUUUAAGUAGUUUGAUAGUCACUGCUGUGACUUUUAGGUUUUAGAAAUCUGUGAUUUUUAAAGAAUUGUGUACUUUAAAUAGUUUGAUACUCACUGCUUUGACUUUUAGCUUUUAGAAAUCUGUGAUUUUUACUAUAAUGAUGUGUAUAUACUGCCUCCUAUUAGUUAUAUCAUAAAAAUAUGUAUGCAGUUAAAAUCAUAAUAUAUUUUGUCUUAGUGUUUAAUAAGUAGGUAUAGAUUAUAAAUUUAAAGAGUAAAUUAUAUUGAUAUUUCCUGAGUUUUAGUAAAAUUAUAUAAAAUACGCCCCCUUUUUAAACGUACAUAAAUUACCCUAAUUAUAUGUAUACAUUAUGUUGAUUACCUCUGCAUGAAAUAUAAGUGAAAUUUCUUAAACAAAAAUUGUGACUAUUCUAAUUAAGUUAAAAAAAAUAUGUAAAUUAUCAAGACAACCCCAAAUAGAAUAAGAGUCAAUGUGUAUUUAUUAUUUUGGUUAGUUAAUAUAGUAUAAGAAAUUUAAACAUUUCCUUAUAAUUAUUAAUGCAGUUUGUAACGAACUGAAAAUAAUUAAUAUAUAUUGACUCUUAUACUAUUUAGAUUUUUCUUCAAAAUAUACCAUAUUUUAUUUGACUUAAUUAUAGUCGUCAAUAUUUUUUCUUUAAGAAAUUACAUUUAUUUAUUUGACUGUGGUAGUCAGUGUAAUGUAUAUAACUAUAAGUAAUUUGUGUAAGUUUAAAAAUGGAAUGAAUAAUUUAUGUAAUUCCACUAAAACUUAGGGCUGUCUAUAUUAAACUUAUACAAAAAAAAAGACUAUAGAUUAAACUGUAAAGUAAUUUAUGAGAGAUCUCUAUACCUUUUGCUACAAUUUUUGUUUAGUAGGUUGAUGUUAGAAAGUAGUAAUUUCUAAUUAAGGUAAUCAUAUAUUUAAUAUAAUUGUAUCGAUUAUUUAUUUUGGGUUAUAAAACAAAUGAUUUAAUUCUGACAACUCAUAGAACUUCUAAAAUUGAUAACACAUAUAAGCUUAAUGUGUGGGUACCCAAAUGGUUGACCUAUAGGGGAUAAUGAGAAUCAUAUAAGUUAAUAUAUAAGGAACGAUUAUGGUCUUAAAGACAACAAAUUACAAUCAGUUUUCACAUUUCCCUAUUAGAGAAAAAACGAAUGUACCAAAUGGAAUUCAAGAUUUGGUUGAGGAAGACCAUCAUACCAAAAAUCUCUCUAAAGACAUACAAAAUAAAUAGAUCUAAGAAACAUGGAUUCAUAUAUGAUUUUGUAUCCUUGUUUUAUAUAUUUUUUUUACAUGGGAAAGGAAAACAAAACUAAGAAGAACUAUCUAAGACUAAUAAAUCCGACAAGACAUUCAAACCUAAAGACCUAAGCGUGAAAGAGCACCCGUCUUUGCCAUAAAUCCACCACGGAGUUGGUUCCCUUUAUAUUAUGUGUAUGAAUCAUGAGAUUCCAGAUUCUAGGAAUGAUAUUACACUAAUCAUAAGGAAAAUUUAACAAUUGGUAUCAGAGCGUAGGUUCUGAAUUUUAUGAUCUCCUUAAAGAUGUCUUUCCAAUUUUUAUAUGAACCCUAAUUUUAAUUUAUGGAUUUUAUGCUUCCGCUAUCGUGAUAUAAAGAUUGAGAAUUUAAGUUGGUUAUUUCCGCUGUAAUGUUUUCGUUUGAGUGUCUUAAUUGUACACACAUAAUGAUAUAAAGUAAUCGUAUGGAUGAUGUUUUUUAUUUUCUUUUUGUUCUUAUCCCAUAAGGAAUUGUAUCAUGAAAUUAAUGUGAUGAUGAGAACUUACAAUUCAAUUUUUUUUACGCUUUCCAUGUAUACGUUUACAUGCUACAAAAUGUACAUAUAUACAUUAUGAUGUUCUAAUUAUAUAUCUCAUUCAUUAUAUAUGUUGUUUGUCCAGUGAUUGAUUUAUAAUUUUGUUGAUGCAUUAUUUAUUGAUUAGUAGUAUACUCAUAAAGUUGUAUUCAUAUAGAUAAUGCAUUUAGUUUAUUUAAAUGCUGAAAUAUAUUAUAGAGUGUGCAUUUUUAGUAUAAAGAUUUAUACACAGUCAAUAAAUUAUCUAUUAUUUAUUUGUAUUAUUUUUUUCUAAAAAGUCAAUAAUGAUUUAAAAUAAAUGAAGUAUGAUGAGCCAUAAUAUAUAAAACUCUUAUACUGUCAAUAUAUUUUCUCUAUUUUAUAUACUAUAUAUAUUUUGCUAUUAUAAGGCACAUAUAAUGUCUACCUUGUUAUAACUUCAAGCACAUAAAUUUUUAUUAAUUUGCCUCCUUAUCACAAGUUCAGUGUGAUUUACUCAUGUUUUUAAUGUAGCUACUUUACUGAAGUUAUAUAUAUAUAUAUAUAUAUAUAUAUCUUCAAUGCCCAGAAAAUCUCUUCUUUUCCUUUAUUAGAUUUAGUUCAAGUUAUAUCUUGGUAUUCGUGUUCUUCUUUUGUAGAUAAAUUGGUGUUUUAAUUCCUAGAUUGUUUAAAAAAAGUUACUUUUUAUAGUUUGGAUUUAUAUUGUGAUUAAAUCUUAAAAUUUUAAUUCUAAUUUGUAUUUUUUUAUAAUGUACUCAUAUUAUUUUUUUGUCUAGUAUGUUUUUGAUUAAAUUCAAUGAUAUGAUAUGUUGCCAAAGUAAUUUCUACUUUGAUUAAAAUUAUAUAUAUACUAGUAUGUGACUAUUUAUGAGAAUUGUGAUCAGCCUAAAAGAAGAUAUAAUUUGGCCAAAUAAUAACAUUUAUAUGAUGAUAAAUAUGUAAUAAUUAUAAAGUUAUAUUUUUCAUCUAAAUAAUAUUCGGUCUAAAAAAGACUAUUGUUUGACAAAACUAAUUAUUAAUAUUUAUCAUUACAUUGAAAAUUCAUUUCUUCAAUUCUUUUUAUCUGUCCAAAUUAUAUUUUUUUUCUAAGCCAUGGAAGAUCCUAUGCCGAUUUAGUAAAUCAAUCUGUUAAUUGUGAGCUUCAAAUUAAAAAGUGCCUAUAAUUUAUCUUUGACUGUUUCACAAUCCAAAUAUGUAUCUAUUUUGAGGUUACUACUUUUGGAAACAAGCAUAUAAAUAAGCGAAGAAACUUGUGCUAAAUUCACCAUCUCUCAACAUUAUAUCUUCAACAACAACAAAAAAAGAACAAAAGAAAAAUGGCUCGCCUGGCAUGUUGUUUGGUCUUGAUCUCUUUGUGCUUAUGCCUUGUUCUUGAGCCUGCUUUUGCAGCCAAGAAAGGACACAAGACCCGUAAGGUCAAAUCCGCCAAGCACAUUGCCCCAGCAAGUGCACCUUUUCCUUCUGCUAUUCAAACAGAACAAGCUUUGAUCCAACAACUAUGCCAGGAUACAAGGAAAUCCAAAUUGUGCCGCAAAAUUGUCCAAGGUGAAAGGGUAGCUUUAGAACCAGUCGCUGAGGCCAAGAUUGCCAUUGAUAUUGCCACAUCCAUGGCAUCAAGGGUUGGUGCAUACAUGUCAACCCAACUUAAAACAAACCGUGUUAAGAUUCUUUCAAGAGGGUUUGUGAAAGUUUGCAAGUUCAAUUAUGACAAUGCAAUUGUUGACUUGAACCUUUCAUACAUUAACUUUGAAUCCAACACCAAGAAAGCCAUUGAGAGUCUCAAACAAGCUGAGAUUAAGAUUGGAUUCUGUGUUAAUUCUUUGAAAUCAGCAAGUAAAAAUGCUGAAAUUCCACCAGUUCAUGAAGCCAACAAAGUGAUUCAGAGUUUGAUAAAGGCAGCAGAAUUUGUUGCUAAGAAACAAACACACUAAGCAACAUAUAGCCAGUAUGUGUGUCCAUUUUGCCUUUUGUUUGAGAGAUGUGGAACAUGUUUGUGUUUCUCUUUUUCUGAAUUUUGGUUACAAAAAUAAGUUCUAUUUUUGUACUCUUAUUAAUGUAUUGUUAUCACAAAACAAUUUUAAUGAAGGGUCACAGUUUUCAAU